CCGGUUUGAAUCACAUGAUGCGUUUUAUCGUCUCUUAGCCAAUCAGCAUAACAUCCAGAUUCUGGAUGUUGAACAUGGCUUUUGAGGCGAAUUGUGUCAGGCCCUCUUUCAAUAUCGAGGGCCUGAUACUCAGGUUAUCCUUUUGAAAAUACAGUAUUAUUCUAACUGCGCGUAUAAAUCAAUAAAGACCGAAAGCCAUUAAUAAAAAAAGACAUGAAUGGAGCUUGACGGCCACAAGAACAAAGCAUGUAAGUCAUUGAAAUGAUUUAUCAAUUCUUGUUGUAUUGUGAAUUUGUGUUGCAACUGACUAUCAAGAUUAUUCUUUAAAACACGAGUAUUAUAACAAUCCCCAGCAAGUAAAAUUAAUCAAAUAUAGCUUGUUGAAAACCGUACUGCUAUAAAUUUCCCUAAGUGACAAAGGGUUUUUUAGAGAUUUUAAUACCAGUUUAUUCUAUUAGUAAAUUGUGGGGAAAAGCAACUCUUUGGAAUAUAAAGCCCUUAUAUCACCAUUAAAGUUUUUUACACCUGUAUGUAUUCCGCUUUCAGGUAUGAAUUUAUCAAGAAAAUAUGGGAUAUCUGUACUAAGUACCAGGUGGCAAUGAAGAAAGUCAAGUGUACUAUCGUGAAUGUUUAUACAGUUACAUUUAUAGAUCAGUAGUGUUAAUAUUUAGUGAUGGGCGAUACCAGGAUUUUUAAUUCGAUACCGAUACCGAUACUUUUAAGAUCGGUAUCGGCCGAUACCGAUACCUAUUUCGAUACCAAAAUGAACACAAAAUUUCAAUUUUCGAUACCGGAAGUGAGUACUUAAAUUGCUAGUAUCGGCUAUCGGCUACUUUCGAUACCUUCCGGUCAGCGGAAAAACAUUUUACAUUACUGUAUGUAACCUAAAUAAAGCUAUAUGUAAACCAAAAGCC